GCAGACACAUUCCAGCCAAUCAGCAGCAGACCCUCCCUCCCAGACCCUCCCACCUGCUGGACAGCAUCCAUUGUGAAGCUGCAUUCUUAGUGAGCUGUCCAGGAGGUGGGAGGGUCUGGGAGGGAGGGUCUGCUGCUGAUUGGCUGGAAUGUGUCUG